rnacentral:rRNA from 1 species
CUACGGGCCGCAGCAGUGAGGAAUAUUGCACAAUGGGGGGAACCCUGAUGCAGCAACGCCGCGUGGAGGAUGACGCAUUUCGGUGUGUAAACUCCUUUUAUAUGUCAAGAAAAUGACGGUAGCAUAUGAAUAAGCACCGGCUAACUCCGUGCCAGCAGCCGCGGUAAUACGGAGGGUGCAAGCGUUACUCGGAAUCACUGGGCGUAAAGGACGCGUAGGCGGGCUUGUAAGUCAGGUGUGAAAUCCUACAGCUUAACUGUAGAACUGCACUUGAAACUACGAGCCUAGAGUAUGGGAGGGGGAGAUGGAAUUAGUGGUGUAGGGGUAAUAUCCGUAGAUAUCACUAGGAAUACCUAAAGCGAAGGCGAUCUCCUGGAACAUAACUGACGCUAAGGCGUGAAAGCGUGGGGAGCAAACAGGAUUAGAUACCCGAGUAGUC